AGAGGCGCCGAGCAGCCGGGAGCUCCGUCCUGCCUGAGGAUGCGGGGACCGGGCUGCAUCCCCCCGGCCCUGCUCGCCUGCUCAUCACACGGAGGCCGGGGGCAGGGUCACGGCCAGGGAGCCUGCGGGGCUAAAGGAGCGGGCCGGGAGCUCAAGAGCUACCGCCGGGCGGCGAGGAAGGAGCCCCAGGCAGGCCCCGGGCGGCCGAGGCAGGGGAGGAGACGGCUGGCCCUGGUUCCAGAUGUGGAUCUCCUGUUACUGGAAAACAGGAAUUAGCUUGUCUGCUUGAGGAUGUGGUUGGUUCUUUAUAAAAAGGAUAUAGAAGAAAUUUGCACAGACUGCCAGCUUCAUUAUGCUGCCGACAGCUUCCAGCAAAAGGAGGACGUUUGCAGCCAGAUAUUUCACCCGCUCCAAAAGCCUAGUGAUGGGGGAGCAGAGCCAGAGCCCUGGGCGGACGCCGUGCCCUCACAGGCUGGGCCCCGUGCUGAAGGCGGGCUGGCUGAAGAAGCAGAGGAGCAUCAUGAAGAACUGGCAGCAGCGCUGGUUUGUGCUGCGUGGGGAUCAGCUUUUCUACUACAAGGACAAAGAUGAGAUCAAGCCCCAGGGAUUUAUUUCUCUACAAGGGACACAGGUGACUGAACUUCCUCCUGGCCCCGAGGACCCAGGGAAGCACCUCUUUGAGAUCAGCCCAGGUGGUGCCGGGGAGCGGGAGAAGGUGCCGGCCAACCCCGAGGCGCUCCUGCUCAUGGCCAGCUCCCAGCGUGACAUGGAGGACUGGGUGCAGGCCAUCCGCCGGGUCAUCUGGGCCCCGCUGGGCGGAGGUACUGCCCGUAGAUCGCAUGCCCACCCUCUAGAACCCUUGCCUCCAGGGAUCUUUGGGCAGCGCCUAGAGGAAACAGUCCACCACGAGCGGAAGUAUGGCCCCCGCCUGGCGCCCCUGCUGGUGGAGCAGUGUGUGGACUUCAUCCGGGAGCGUGGGCUCACUGAGGAGGGGCUGUUCCGCAUGCCGGGCCAGGCCAACCUGGUGAGGGACCUGCAGGAUUCCUUCGACUGUGGGGAGAAGCCACUGUUUGACAGCACAACAGACGUGCACACGGUGGCCUCCCUGCUGAAGCUGUACCUGCGGGAGCUCCCCGAGCCCGUGGUCCCCUUCGCCAGGUACGAGGACUUCCUCAGCUGCGCCCAGCUGCUCACCAAGGACGAGGGGGAGGGUACUCUGGAGUUGGCCAAACAAGUGAGCAACCUUCCUCAGGCAAAUUACAACCUGCUCAGAUACAUCUGCAAGUUUCUGGAUGAAGUUCAGGCAUACUCAAAUGUCAACAAGAUGAGUGUCCAGAAUCUGGCAACCGUUUUUGGACCUAACAUUCUGCGGCCACAGGUAGAGGACCCAGUAACCAUCAUGGAAGGAAAGAUGGCUCUAUUCCCUGUCCCAGAGCCGUAUGCUCCCAGAGUGUGGACAUUCAGGCAUGGCAGUUGUCAGCAGCACAGAGGGGUGACAUGGGGCAGCCGAGAGAGUUCUGGCAUCUCAGGUCCCAGGUUCCAGUUCCAACCUGCCACCUGCUCACCGUGCAGCCCUGGUGCCUGCUUCCUCACCCCACCCCAGCUGGAGGGUGUGAGCGCAGGCACAGUGCUUCCUCCCUGCUUGCGGCUCUGUGCCUGAGGAAGGCGGUUCUGCGGCCCCAUCCUGCUGUCCUGCCUGGAGUUGGAGGGUGUGUGGUCCUUUCUUCUGGGCGGAUGAAGGCUCCCUUGAGGGGCGGCCUGGCUCUGGGGACAGGGCCAGCUCCCACGAAGCUGCAGCUUCUCCAUGACUGGCAGAGCGAGCCUGGGCCAAGUGGCUGGCAGCAAGGCCCUUCUCCGCCUCUCUUCCCGGCAGGCACCUCCCUCGUCCAGCACCUGAUGACCGUCCUCAUCCGCAAACACAGCCAGCUCUUCACGGCACCGGUCCCGGAAGGGCCCACCUCCCCACGCGGGGGCCUGCAAUGCGCAGUGGGGUGGGGCUCCGAGGAGGUCACCAGGGACAGCCAAGGAGAGCCCGGCGGCCCCGGCCUGCCCGCGCACAGGACCUCUUCCCUGGACGGGGCGGCCGUGGCGGUGCUCUCCAGAACAGCCCCCACGGGGCCGGGGAGCCGGUGCAGCCCUGGGAAGAAGGUGCAGACCCUGCCCAGUUGGAAGUCCUCCUUCCGGCAGCCGAGGUCCCUAUCGGGAAGCCCGAAGGGGGGCGGCUCAUCCCUGGAGGUGCCCAUCAUCUCCUCCGGCGGGAACUGGCUUAUGAACGGGCUGUCCUCCCUGCGUGGACACCGCCGGGCCUCGUCGGGAGACCGGCUCAAGGACUCGGGCUCCGUGCAGAGACUCUCCACCUACGACAAUGUGCCCGCGCCGGGCCUGGUCCCCGGCAUACCCAGCGUGGCCAGCAUGGCGUGGUCCGGGGCCUCGUCCAGCGAGUCGUCGGUGGGGGGCUCACUCAGCAGCUGCACGGCCUGCCGCGCCAGCGACUCGUCUGCCCGCAGUUCCCUGCACACCGACUGGGCCCUGGAGCCCUCCCCGCUCCCCAGCAGCAGCGAGGACCCCAAGUCCCUGGACCUGGACCACAGCAUGGACGAGGCGGGCGCGGGUGCCAGCAACAGCGAGCCCAGCGAGCCGGACAGCCCCACCCGCGAGCACGCGCGCCGCUCCGAGGCCUUACAGGGGCUGGUCACUGAGCUCAGGGCCGAGCUGUGCCGCCAGCGGACUGAGUACGAGAGGAGUGUGAAAAGAAUCGAAGAAGGGAGUGCUGACCUGAGAAAACGAAUGUCCCGGUUAGAAGAAGAACUGGACCAGGAAAAGAAAAAAUACAUCAUGCUGGAAAUAAAGCUGCGGAACUCUGAACGGGCGCGGGAGGACGCGGAGAGGAGGAACCAGCUGUUGCAGAGGGAAAUGGAGGAGUUUUUUUCGACCCUAGGAAGCUUGACUGUUGGGGCAAAAGGUGCCAGGGCCCCAAAGUAAAAGGAAUGGCAGAGCUCACUUCUGUACCACGUCUGCUGGUCUCCAGCCAUGUAUGGAGUUAGAAGCGUCUGUAUCUCUGGAGCAGCCAGGCGCUCUGAAGCCAGCUGGAGAGAGAGAGAACCUGAUACCUCUGUGGGGACUGUUGGGACCCCACACACUCCAGGUGGGAUCAGAUGCUGCUCCAACCAUGCAGCUCCUGGUGAGGGUCAGAAGGGGAUGGUACCAAGAGUAGUGCUUAGCCCUUACCCAGGAAAUGUCUUUCAUGGCCACAGAAAUGGAGGGCACCCAGGAUCCAGGCAGCCACUGGGAACAGUCAGCUUUCUUUAUUAAAUGUGCUCACAAAGCA